rnacentral:rRNA from 1 species
GGCGGUUAGAUAAGUNUGAAGUUAAAGGCUGUGGCUUAACCAUAGUACGCUUUGGAAACUGUUUAACUUGAGUGCAGAAGGGGAGAGUGGAAUUCCAUGUGUAGCGGUGAAAUGCGUAGAUAUAUGGAGGAACACCGGUGGCGAAAGCGGCUCUCUGGUCUGUAACUGACGCUGAGGCUCGAAAGCGUGGGGAGCGAACAGGAUUAGAUACCCUGGUAGUCCACGCCGUAAACGAUGAGUGCUAGGUGUUAGGCCCUUUCCGGGGCUUAGUGCCGGAGCUAACGCAUUAAGCACUCCGCCUGGGGAGUACGACCGCAAGGUUGAAACUCAAAGGAAUUGACGGGGGCCCGCACAAGCGGUGGAGCAUGUGGUUUAAUUCGAAGCAACGCGAAGAACCUUACCAGGUCUUGACAUCCCGAUGCCCGCUCUAGAGAUAGAGUUUUACUUCGGUACAUCGGUGACAGGUGGUGCAUGGUUGUCGUCAGCUCGUGUCGUGAGAUGUUGGGUUAAGUCCCGCAACGAGCGCAACCCCUAUUGUUAGUUGCCAUCAUUAAGUUGGGCACUCUAGCGAGACUGCCGGUAAUAAACCGGAGGAAGGUGGGGAUGACGUCAAAUCAUCAUGCCCCUUAUGACCUGGGCUACACGCGUGCUACAAUGGCUGGUACAACGAGUCGCAAGUCGGUGACGACAAGCUAAUCUCUUAAAGCCAGUCUCAGUUCGGAUUGUAGGCUGCAACUCGCCUACAUGAAGUCGGAAUCGCUAGUAAUCGCGGAUCAGCACGCUGCGGUGAAUACGUUCCCGGGCCUUG